AACCCAAUGUGACGUUACCAAACUGUUGCCUCGGCGGGGUCACGCCCCGGGUGCGUCGCAGCCCCGGAACCAGGCGCCCGCCGGAGGAACCAACCAAACUCUUUCUGUAGUCCCCUCGCGGACGUAUUUCUUACAGCUCUGAGCAAAAAUUCAAAAUGAAUCAAAACUUUCAACAACGGAUCUCUUGGUUCUGGCAUCGAUGAAGAACGCAGCGAAAUGCGAUAAGUAAUGUGAAUUGCAGAAUUCAGUGAAUCAUCGAAUCUUUGAACGCACAUUGCGCCCGCCAGUAUUCUGGCGGGCAUGCCUGUCCGAGCGUCAUUUCAACCCUCGAACCCCUCCGGGGGAUCGGCGUUGGGGAUCGGGACCCCUCACACGGGUGCCGGCCCCUAAAUACAGUGGCGGUCUCGCCGCAGCCUCUCCUGCGCAGUAGUUUGCACAACUCGCACCGGGAGCGCGGCGCGUCCACGUCCGUAAAACACCCAACUUUCUGAAAUGUUGACCUCGGAUCAGGUAGGAAUACCCGCUGAACUUAAGCAUAUCAAUAAGCGGAGGA
rnacentral:rRNA from 1 species